CAGCAGCAGCCGCGGUAAUUCGAAGGGUGCAAGCGUUAAUCGGAAUUACUGGGCGUAAAGCGUGCGUAGGCGGUUUGUUAAGUCUGUUGUGAAAUCCCCGGGCUCAACCUGGGAAUGGCAAUGGAUACUGGCAAGCUAGAGUGUGUCAGAGGAUGGUGGAAUUCCCGGUGUAGCGGUGAAAUGCGUAGAGAUCGGGAGGAACAUCAGUGGCGAAGGCGGCCAUCUGGGACAACACUGACGCUGAGGCACGAAAGCGUGGGGAGCAAACAGGAUUAGAUACCCGGGUAGUCCCUGUCUCUUAUAA
rnacentral:rRNA from 1 species